rnacentral:tRNA from 1 species
GACGGUAGUGUGAGGGUUAAGGCGUUGGAUUUGAAAUCCAAUGGGGUUUCCCCGCGCAGGUUCGAACCCUGCUCUCA